GCAUUAGAAGCUAAUAUUUAAGCAUUGGUCUUGUAAACCAAAGAUAGAGAAUUUCUCCUAAUACA
rnacentral:tRNA from 1 species